GGGUGUUUAGCUCAGUUGGUAGAGCGUCUGGUUUACAUCCAGCAGGUCGGGGGUUCGAGUCCCUCAACACCCACCA
rnacentral:tRNA from 1 species